rnacentral:sRNA from 1 species
UACAAGGUUUUCCUGUUAUUGAACACUGC